GCGCAUGGCAGCGAGCCUAUAAUGCAAGUCGAGCGGACCGACGGGAGCUUGCUCCCUUAGGUCAGCGGCGGACGGGUGAGUAACACGUGGGUAACCUGCCUGUAAGACUGGGAUAACUCCGGGAAACCGGGGCUAAUACCGGAUGCUUGAUUGAACCGCAUGGUUCAAUCAUAAAAGGUGGCUUUUAGCUACCACUUACAGAUGGACCCGCGGCGCAUUAGCUAGUUGGUGAGGUAACGGCUCACCAAGGCGACGAUGCGUAGCCGACCUGAGAGGGUGAUCGGCCACACUGGGACUGAGACACGGCCCAGACUCCUACGGGAGGCAGCAGUAGGGAAUCUUCCGCAAUGGACGAAAGUCUGACGGAGCAACGCCGCGUGAGUGAUGAAGGUUUUCGGAUCGUAAAACUCUGUUGUUAGGGAAGAACAAGUACCGUUCGAAUAGGGCGGCACCUUGACGGUACCUAACCAGAAAGCCACGGCUAACUACGUGCCAGCAGCCGCGGUAAUACGUAGGUGGCAAGCGUUGUCCGGAAUUAUUGGGCGUAAAGCGCGCGCAGGCGGUUUCUUAAGUCUGAUGUGAAAGCCCCCGGCUCAACCGGGGAGGGUCAUUGGAAACUGGGGAACUUGAGUGCAGAAGAGGAGAGUGGAAUUCCACGUGUAGCGGUGAAAUGCGUAGAGAUGUGGAGGAACACCAGUGGCGAAGGCGACUCUCUGGCCUGUAACUGACCUGAAGCCGAAAACCUGGGGGGAAAA
rnacentral:rRNA from 1 species